GGACAACACUGAGGCCACCUCCAAGGCGAUGGACAUCUUCAACACCCAUGGUUCUCCUAAAGUCAUCUCAAGUGACCGAGGUCGUGAACUCUGGAACAAGGUUUGGAUGAACAAACCAACUACACCCCUAAGACUGCCAUGGGCAAGUCCCUUGACGGGUUCCAGGCACAGGAGAAACAGGAGAGCAACCGGAGGAGAAUCAAGGAGGGGACCGACAUCCGGGCGAAUUACUUGGUUUGGAAGGACGAAAGGAGGCGACCUGAGAAUCCUUUCUGCUUGUUGCUCCUAGCUUCGGGUCACCAUCCAUAAGGGUGAUUAUUAAAAUCUCAGAUGAUAACUAUUUGCCUCCUCGCAAUGGCCGGCAUCGCCAUGCUUUCAGCAGUACCAACCAGGGUUUUCUCCAAAUAGUCAAUGUCAAGGCUAAGUACUGGGUCACAUUAAGUAACCUCUGCUGCCAGGUAGGUACUGAUAAGGUGUAUGACUCCAGUGGUUGUGACACCACACCAGAGUUUCUCUCACAACUCACCUCAUCUUUUCCAGGGACCACCUUCCUCAUCCACCUCACUGACAUAAAAUAUUACAGACCGGUAUCCUUUCUUUUCUGUUCGCCAUUAACAUUAUUACAUGUCUAAUCAAACAUUUAAAUUAAAUCAUUCACUAACUGUAUUUUUUACAUAACCUGUGUGUUCACCUGCCUUCUACACUGCUCCUGUUCUCCAGGAUCUAGGGGUUCUACCCAGAUGUGGAUCCCCCUGAUGUCCUCCAUUACCAACCACCCUCAACUUUUCAUUACAUCAUCUACAUAUA